rnacentral:rRNA from 1 species
UGAAAAAAAAUAUAAAGUCUAGUCUGCUCAAUGAAUAAAAAUUUAAAUAGCUGCAGUAUUUUGACUGUACAAAGGUAGCAUAAUAAUUAGUUUUUUAAUUGAAAGCUGGAAUGAAGGAUUGGACGAGAAAAUUACUGUCUCAGUAUUAAAAAUUGAAUUUAACUUUUUAGUUAAAAGGCUAAAAUAUUUUUAAAAGACGAGAAGACCCUAUAGAGUUUUAUAAUAUUUGGUUGGGGUGAUUAAAAAAUUUAAAAAACUUUUUUAUUUUAUUAAUUAUUUAUUUGUAAAUUUAUUUUCUAUAGAUUUUAAAAUUAAAAUAAAUUACCUUAGGGAUAACAGCGUAAUAUAUUUUUAAAGUUCUUAUUUAAAAAUUUGUUUGCGACCUCGAUGUUGGAUUAAAAUUUAUUAUUGGUGCAGGAGCUGAAUAAUUGAGUCUGUUC